CCAAACUUGGUCAUUUAGAGGAAGUAAAAGUCGUAACAAGGUCUCCGUAGGUGAACCUGCGGAGGGAUCAUUACCGAGUGAGGGCUUCGGCCCGACCUCCAACCCUUUUGUCGACCAACACCUGUUGCCUCGGGGGUGGUCCGGCCCCGGCUUUGGCGUCGGGCCUCCGGGCGCCCCCAGAGGACCAUUUCAACUCUGUAUCUGUACGUCGGAGUAUCGAUGAAAUCAAUCAAAACUUUCAACAACGGAUCUCUUGGUUCUGGCAUCGAUGAAGAACGCAGC
rnacentral:misc_RNA from 1 species